GACGAACGCUGGCGGCGUGCUUAACACAUGCAAGUCGAACGGGUCUGCCCUGUUUUUUGCGGGGUGGGUCAGUGGCGAACGGGUGAGUAACACGUGAGUAACCUGCCCCUCACUUCUGGAUAACCGCUUGAAAGGGUGGCUAAUACGGGGUGUUCUGGCUGUGCCGCAUGGUGUGGCUGGGAAAGAUUCACUUUUGUGGUGUUUUGGUGGGGGAUGGGCUCGCGGCCUAUCAGCUUGUUGGUGGGGUGAUGGCCUGCCAAGGCUUUGACGGGUAGCCGGCCUGGGAGGGUGGGCGGUCACACUGGGAAGGAGAUACGGCCCAGACUCCUGCGGGAGGCAGCAGUGGGGGGUAUUGCACAAUGGGCGGAAGCCUGAUGCAGCGACGGCGCGUGAGGGAUGGAGGCCUUCGGGUUGUGAACCUCUUUCGCCGGUGAAGAAGGUCCUGCUCUUUGUGGUGGGGUUGACGGUAGCCGGGUUAUGAAGCGCCGGCUAACUACGUG
rnacentral:rRNA from 1 species